rnacentral:rRNA from 1 species
GAGGAAUCUUGCGCAAUGGGGGAAACCCUGACGCAGCAACGCCGCGUGAGUGAGGAAGGCCUUCGGGUCGUAAAGCUCUGUCAGAUGGGAAGAAAUGGGUGGGGGCUAAUAUCGUCCAUCCUUGACGGUACCAUCAGAGGAAGCACCGGCUAACUCCGUGCCAGCAGCCGCGGUAAUACGGGGGGUGCAAGCGUUGUUCGGAAUCAUUGGGCGUAAAGCGCGCGCAGGCGGCUUGGUAAGUCAGAUGUGAAAUCCCUGGGCUUAACCCAGGAAGUGCAUUUGAUACUGCCUCGCUAGAGUACGGGAGAGGAAAGUGGAAUUCCUGGUGUAGAGGUGAAAUUCGUAGAUAUCAGGAGGAACACCGGUGGCGAAGGCGACUUUCUGGCCCGAGACUGACGCUCAGGCGCGAAAGCGUGGGGAGCAAAC